AGCAGGGCCGCCUGCAGGGCCCCAGGCGGGCAGAGCGCCGGGCUGCGGGUCAGGGGGCUGCAGGCGUGAGCGCAGGGGGCUAACCUGUGUCCUCUCUGUGUCCCCUCCCCGCCGCCCCGUCCGCAGGAACGGCCUGGGCGGCUGCCGGCUGCGGACCGAGAGCGAGCCAUCGUGCGGCUCCCCGGUGGUCAGCGGCGACCCCAAGGAUGACCACAACUACAGCAGUGCCAAGUCCAACGCCAGGAGCACCUCGCCCGCCAGCGACUCGGUCUCCUCCUCCUCGGCCGACGACCACUACGAGUUCGCCCCCAAGGGGAGCCAGGAGGGCAGCGAGGGCAGCUUCCAGAGCCACGAGAGCCACAGCGACACGGAGGAGGACGACCGCAAACACAGCCCCAAGGAGGCCAAGGACGCCCUGGGGGACAGCGGCUACGCAGCCCAGCACAAGAAGCGCCAGCACUUCGCCAAGGCCCGGAAGGUGCCCAGCGACACGCUGCCCCUCAAAAAGAGACGCACGGAGAAGCCCCCCGAGAGCGACGACGAGGAGAUGAAAGAGGCGGCGGGCUCGCUCCUGCACUUGGCAGGGAUUCGGUCCUGUUUGAAUAACAUCACCAAUCGGACGGCAAAGGGGCAGAAAGAGCAAAAGGAAACCACAAAAAAUUAAAAACAAGUCACUGAUUUGUUUUGAACUUUCGGCCAUUUGGUUUUAGCAUGUCAGGAGAUUUCUAAUGAUUUGUGGCAAUAUCAGCAAUUUUUUUUUUCUUUUUUCUUUUUCUUUCUUUUUUUUGGUUUGGUUUUCUUUCUUUUCUUUCCUUUUUUUUUUUUUUUUUUUUAAUUUGCCCCUCCUUUGUUUUGGACCCUUAAGAAUUUUAUUUUAAAGGAGAUUGAAGCCAUAGAACUCAUAUUGACACUCAGCUGUUUUACAAAAGCUUUUCAUUAUCUGAAGACAAAACCGAAAAAGCCAAAAUUACCAUUGCUUCCUCCAGCUCUGUCAGAAACACGUGGCUGAAUCCGCAGGGACGCCAACGGUCAGGCCACGGGAACACACAUUCGGCACGUGUGCAAAGUAAUCAUCCAUCAGGCCCAACCCUCAGGUUUAAAAGGUCAGGAUGGCCCCCCAGUUGGGGUCACUGAGUGAAUGCGUAUAAGGCGACUGGGGACAAGGAAGAACCCUGGUCCCCUGGGAGCAGACCCAGGCUCGUAGUGCGGGGCAUCCAGCUGUGCCAGGAAAACUCUUGGCCUUGCCAUGGGUGUCAUUGCCAUGAAGUGUGCAGGGGUGGGUGGACAGAGUGGGGGCGUUCUCCAGUCCUUUGUGCUUCUUCGCUGGAAAGCCUAGUAGCAUCUUAGGAGGGGGACAUACUGGACCACUCCUUUUACACCAGGUGUCAGUGACAAUGAGAAGAAACUGGGUCAGUUUUUAGUGAUGUUGCUCAUCACUGAAUUUUGUUCUGUAUUAAGAGAAUGUUCCACAAGCCAUAAGCCUGAAGGUUGGCCCUGCACGCACACGCACACACACACGAGAGAUAGAGAGAGAGAGAGAACUAAUGCAGAAAACAAGCUAUGUCUUAACUGCCCAAGUGAAAAUCAAGUCCAGGAAAUUACAGUAGCUGUUAAGGAAGAAAAUAAUGGUACAGAUCUUUUUCUGUCUGUCAAAACUGUUUGAUCCGAGUGAGAAAACAAAAAGCUACAGAACCUGCCAUUAGUAUUGUGGUGUAUUUCUAAAAGAUUAAAGGCAGAUUGAUGGACAAACAAAAGUAAAAACAUGGCAAAAAAAAUACAAAAACAAAAAAGUCCUAUCCUGCCCUCAAAAUGGAGUUUGCAGUUAAUAUCAGGAUUCAUCUUUGCAAAAUCAGUGAUUUCCACGUUCAGCCAGUGUAGCCAGCAGAAAUUUCUGAUCCACAGUGCAUGGAUUCCUUUGAAAAAAGAAAAAAAAGGAAAAAAGAUAAAAAAGGAAAAAAAAAUCACAAAACAAACUUUUUUUUAUUCAAAAAUAACAAAGUUCUUGUAAGGUAAAUAAUGUAUUUAGCAUGAAGCAUGAAUUAUUUUCAUAUAAAUAUAGAAAAUAGAGAAAAGGCUAUGCCUCUAAUUUUUAAGCCCUUAGGCUUAGAGUUUCUUUUGGUUUUCUCUUUUUUUUUUUUUCUUUCUUUCUUUCUUUCUUUCAUUUUUUUUCUGUUGUUUUGUUUUUUUUUUCCCCAAUUAUUUUGUUUUGGUUUUUUGAAGCAGGUGUUUAAGGUUUAACCUUCUUCAGGGACAAAUUCUGACUGUUGGGGAAUCUUACUCUGCAAUAUAAAAUAUCUUCGUGUUCUGGUAGGGCCUGGAUGGCGGAGCUCUAACUGCCUUGUCUGCACUUCAGCCCCCGACCCCCUGGUUCUCUGUUGAAAAGUGUGUCCUUUCUCUUUGUCUGUCCAUGUUUACCAUGACGCAAUAAUUUGAGGGCAAACUUAGUAGUGAGUGUGUAUGAUAGAAUCAAGAGAAUUACGGGACGCUGACUUGAGAAAACCAUUACCGUGAUUUGGUCCUAGCAAAAAGGCAGUGAAUAAUUAUGCAAAUUCGCCGGAAGAAGGGAAAGCACGCUAAUGGGCCUUAUUGGAUGAGGGUGUGAGUUAGGGUGCACGCGAAGGAGGAAGUGACACGGAUGUUGGAAGGACCAGCCCCAGACAGUUUCCCUGUGAUGCCAUCUCGCAGUGGGAAGGAGGGGCCGGCCACCUCUGCCACCUGAGCACACGAACCAACCUGGAAUUAAGCCCACCUAGAUUAUGAGAGCUGAAUUUAGACAACCGGACGAUGUCACGCAGACCAGAAACUCCUGUUACCUUUGCCUAAAAGAAAUUAUCUUGAGAGAUCCAGAGAGAAAUCUCUGAAAGAAUAUGAUCUUCCACCCACAUGGAGGGGAAUUUUAAAACACAAACAGGAACACCCACUACUGGGGCUCAGGAUGUGGUGGUGAGGGAGAGCGGGGGGCACUGGGGAGACGGUGAUGUUUAAAGACGGGACAGUCGGGGGCCAUCGUGGAGCCCAGUGGCCAGCAGCAGCCAGGACGGAGGGAAUGAACUGGCGCGGACCCCGCGCUUUCCUUCCUGUGGGUUGCUGGUAAGAGAACCUGGCGGGGGAAAAAAAGUCUACGCCCAUAUGACAGGUCAAGUUCAGGACCUGAACCGGAAUACUUCCAGCACAUUUGUCCCGGGUGUAGAUGGGAAAAGGAUGUAUUACCGAAGUGCCCUGUUCCCUCCAUCUCCCCAAGUAUCUGACACCCCAAAAGCUGUGUCAGUUGCGGAGCCUGAGCAACACUUUGAUACGUGUUGUCACCUGACCAAACCCGGAAGACAACCCCUUCAGCUCUGCCCCCCCACUCCCUUCCCCCCCCCCCAGGAUAAAGUUCAGGCUUCCCUCCCGAAAGGCAGAGGUGGACAUCCAGGACUGUUUCUGGCGGGGACUUCUUCCAGUCAAAACCCCCGCGGUGGGCUGUCUCCCCUCAUUUCGUUUUUCUAAAGGAGCAAAGGUGUCUUUUAGAAAAUAAUAAAAUGCAAUGUGUGUGAUUUACUUUUCUGAUCUCUUUGAGAAAUAGAUAAAUAUCUUAUAAAAGUGUGUUCUUAACUCCAGAACCACUCUUUUUGCAUAAAUACCUCAUCGGGCAGCUUUCUAAGUGUUAUUUUCCUGAGUCUCCCUCAGCACCCGUGUAGAAGCCUGCUGGGUGACUUCUAGGGGAAACUUCAGUGAGGGUACUUUUUUCUAUUUUUCUUCUGUUUUUGGAGGCAUACACAUUAUGCAUAACCAAAACAAUGGCUCAAUUGUGUUUAACUUUGUAUUUUGAUUGUUGAGAAAAAAAAAAAAGUAUUGAUGUGUA